rnacentral:lncRNA from 1 species
GAUCCCGCUAUAAUGAAUGAUCAAUAAACUACAAAUCAGGUUGUUAGAAAUUUCAUAGAAAGUAAUCAAUGUACAAACUAAUUGAAAGUUGCACACACAAAAUCAGAUCUAUAAUUUUUCAAUAUAUAUAUAUAACUAUAUGUUCGUCACAAUCAAAGAUAAUAAUUAUAAUUAUACCCAUGAUCAAUAAAAAAAGAUGUAGUAACUUUAGAAAAAAAUACAUAAAAAGCAAGGCCGUUCAUAUUAUUUUCAUGUUCGUCGUUUAUUCUUUCAAAAAUGAACGGAAAGCGUUAAUGCCGUUCGUUUUUCCGUUCAAUGUCCAACCUUGGGACUUACAAUUGUAACUCCAAAGGAGCGAAUCUUUAUUUUUAUUCCCCGCCUUUCAUGAGUUCCCUCUUCAAAAAUUAAAUGAUAAUGAUCAUUAUGGAUGUGAAAAUUGUCUAAAUCCUCGUGAGUGUCAAUUAACAAGAAAAGUUAACAGGGAUAACUAUAGUGUACGUUGCUCAUUAAUAUCCAUAGAGAAAGAAAUACAUAGAGGCGACCAAGGGCGCAAAAGUUUGAGUUAUAUAUUCCACCUUAUGGCGAGGGUACGUUUAAAGAAAUGACGUCACAUAUGAUUUUUAAUAAUAUACAUUAUUUAUUUUAAUGGACUUAUAUCGGAUCUCAUGACGUCUUAGGUUAGAGGCAUCAUCACUUGGACUCAUCUCGGAGCAUGAGGAAUUGGACUCAGAAACAUGAUAACUUCGACUUGGAAAAAAUAUAUGCUAUGGACAUCUAUUCGACUGGGAUGACAAGAAUGAUAUAUUGCAUGCAUUAGAAGAGUUCAAUUCGUAUGUGAAUAUAUAUUUUCAGUUUUUAGGGUUUGAAAUUCAUGAUAUGACUAUAUGUUAAAGUGAUAUAUGUUUCAUAUAGUAUGUUAAGUGAUAGAAUCGUCUCCAUGUUUUCCUAUAAUGCUAUGAGGAUGGAUACUAUAUGAUUAAUCAGACUCAACUUGGACAAAAUAGCAGGAAGACAUGAAGGCAUGCUAACUUAGAGUAGUCUGGGAAUCUUUAAAAUAACUUAAACUCGGGAAAGAUGAAUUCGACUCCAGCACAGGAUAUUACAUUCAAAUGAAAGAGUGCUCUGCUGGAUGUGUUUUGGUCAUCUAAGGAUUUAUUUGUAUUAAGUCAAGAAGAACAUCAUUAUCUUCUCCACUCUCAUUGUAUUUUAACAAAGACUUUAGUAUUUAUUUUAAUGAAUACUAAAGUUGGAGUUACGAAGACUAUGGAACUAAAAUGAUCAAGCAAACAAUUAUAAUGAAAUGUUUAUAUAUUUAUUCAUCAUAUAUUUUAAUAAUAAAAAUUAAAUAUUGUAAAGA